CCGUGAACAUGCUCCUUCCAUGCCAAGACGUCACAGCAGUUGCCCUCCUAAGAUCCACCAAAGUCACGGCUGCAGUAACUUGUGCUGUGUGCUUAGAAAAAAAUGGCAGCAGCAGCUCCUUCUUCAUUCAACCCAAGUCUAAGAACAUCAACAUGGUUCCCAGCUUUCUAGAAGAACAACGUUCCAGGCCCUCUCAAAAAAUGAAAUUGCCGAGAGAGUGUAUGGAAGUG
rnacentral:lncRNA from 1 species